GGGCUUUUAGCUCAGUGGUAGAGCGCGCCCCUGAUAA
rnacentral:tRNA from 5 species